GGAUUUAGCUCAGUGGUAGAGCGUUUGCCUAGCAAGCGUGAGGCUCUGGGUUCGGUCCCCAGCUCCA
rnacentral:tRNA from 1 species